GGCACCGAUGGCCGCAACCCGCAGUAUUCUCACACUACUUGGUAGUCGGUACUCUCUGGGUACUGAUAAUCAAGCAGCUGCGGAUGUUGAUCCCGUCUUGCUGGUUGGUACCCUACGAAGCGGCGGCGAAGCAUCAAUCGAUCUAUAUCGGCAAUGCGUCUUAAUCUUACAAAUCCGGUAAUCUUUCUCUUUCGACUUUCCCUUUUCAACAAACGGAGCUGGGUUCAAAACUGAAAACUGCCGCGUUUGGUUAUCUAUGGCACGGUUGGUCAUUAUUCUUUGAAUUGUAAUGUCUUUAUUUGUUGGUUGAUUUGAGUCAUCUGGAUCUUUUAUAUGCUGUGAUUAUUUCAGAUGAUGUAUGCUUCUCUUAGACUAAUUAGUGUUUUCCAAUCCCUUGUAUUCCUUAAUUGCUUAUGUUCUAUGAAGUGGCUUGGAUAAUAUUGUGUGUUGGUAGCAAUGAUGUAAAGCUAGGGGAAUGGGUAUGAAUUAGCCAAAGUAGGUUUGGGUUUGUGACUGAUUAUCUAUGGUUUGGUUGGUUCAUUUUUCUUUGAGUUGCAAUGUCUUUAUUGAUGAUAUGCUUAAGACGAUAUAUUACUAUCCUCUUUUGAUGUAUUUGUGGUGUUGAAUUCCUGGUGAUGUUGUUAGUUGUUCUUUUGUCUGGGUUCUUAUGUUGUAUAGUGGCAUGGAUAUGAUGGUUAAUAAGUAAAAGGUCUGAGUAGGAAGAUUGUGUAUUGGUUGCGAUGAUGUGAAGUUGGGGGAAUGGGAGAGGGCCCUUGUCCUUGUUCAAGUUAUUGCAUUGUGACUGCCGCAACCUCUCCUACAAUGAUCGGGUUGAAAUAAAAGGCGUGGGCUGCAUUCUAGUAUGGAAUGAUGACCUAGACUUCUCCCUACAUCAUAAACAUCAAUCCGCUGCCAUCACACUUCCUACGCUGAUACAAGCCUUUAUGCUGAUCCACCCACAAUCUUCUUUCAAAUUACCUUUUAAAGUUUGCAUUUCUUGUUUUUAUUUUAAUUUAUCAGAUGUAUUCUCUCUCUUUUUUACUGGUCAGCUAGGAUUUUAAAACUUUUAGACAAGUCAGUUUGUUUAAUAAUUUUCCAGCCAAGAAAUGAGUUUAUUUGUUAAUUUUCCUGCCAAACAAUGUUGCAAACUUGUGGUAAGGUUUUGAGCACAACGAUGCUAAAGCAUUUGCCAAAUUUUUUGGGUCAUUUGUUUUGGAUCAGAAGAUGCUGAGAAUCAAUUUCCUAGUCUCAUGUAUAUGUUUUUGAAGAUUAAAAGCAAUCUGGUGUAUAUCCAAGUGACAUGAGCCUCAUUCUUGUGUCGUAAGAGCAUGAGAGCCUCAUCAGUAUCAUUCAAAGCCUCAUAGAUGGCAGAGGUUUCCGUCAACCCACUGGCAAUCUCCUCUGAAGCAAUUUUACGAGCAGGUUUUUCAUAUCCUCGAGGAAUUGUUGCAGCGUCAUUUGGAUUCUCCCAACUUACUAGUCCAGUUGUGCAAAUGUGUGAGGCGAGGCGAGUAAGAUUGAUGUGACAGUAACCACAUAGAGAUCCUUGUUUUCCCUGGGUAUGCAUUUGGAGAUCUAAAGCCCCUCCACGUGUUGUGUGUUCUUUUGUUGGAAGGCUAUAUGGGGUAAAAUUCUGACUCUAGACAACUUGCAGAAACGAGGCGUGUCUCUAGUUAAUAGAUGCUACAUUUGCAAAGUGAGUCAUGAAUCUAUAAACAAUCUUCUUCACUUCCCCUGGACAAGAAAUGUUUAGAGCAUUGCUUAUAAUCUGAUGGGGGUCUAUUGGGUUAUUAAUGGCUCUGUAGACAGUGAGUUACUCUCAUGGUGCUCUCUCUCUGGUGACAAGACCAAAUGAAAGAUCCUUAUUACGCUCCCCAUGUCCAUGAGAUGUUGUAUCACCAUAGAAUCUUUGAUUCAAAGGAUAUAUCCUUCGACUUCUUUUUAGAUAACUGGUUUAGUUGAUUAAGUUAUGGUGUUCCUCUCCCUGUACCAAUCUGCUUGAAGUUUUGUUCACCGCCUCCUUGUAGCUCUCUGGGUUGCACCACCUCAGUGCUUAAAUAAAACGUUUGCCAUUCAGGAAAAAGAGAUCCGGUAGAAACCACACUCGGACUUUAGCAAGGUGUGCUAUUACUGCAAAUGCAUGCUCAGCAAGGAGGACAUCUAGUAAAUAGAAACAAAUAUCCAAAGAGGGAGUAGAUAUAGCCACAGAUGGAGAACUGAAAAUGUUUGCCAUGCAGGUCAAGAAGAAGAACCUGGUUGUUGAAUUGGUAGAAAACAUGUCAAAACCAAUUGAGGGCAAAUAGAAAAGAGACUGUCUUUUGUGUUGUUGUCCUGAAUUUCCAGUGCAUAUAUGGACUUGCUCAAGAGAAUUGAGAUUGGGAGGAACUUUGCUGCGAGCAUGCGAUCAUAGAUCUUUCAUAUGAUUUAUAUGACAAAUUUUUAUUCAUGAUAUAUAUAUUCUUAUGGAAUUUGUCUUUUGUUUCAAUUCAUUAUCAGCUUCAUUCACCUUAAAUUUGGGAUUGAAUUUCUUUUAUUUUCUUGAUAAGCUGAUAUUGAAUUUCUUCAAUUCGAUUUUAUUGAUUUUACAUUCCUUGAAGACCA